rnacentral:rRNA from 1 species
AACGAACGCUGGCGGCAUGCCUAACACAUGCAAGUCGAACGAGACCUUCGGGUCUAGUGGCGCACGGGUGCUUAACGCGUGGGAACCUGCCCUUAGGUUCGGAAUAACUCCCCGAAAGGGGUGCUAAUACCGGAUAAUGUCUUCGGACCAAAGAUUUAUCGCCUUUGGAUGGGCCCGCGUUGGAUUAGCUAGUUGGUAGGGUAAAAGCCUACCAAGGCGACGAUCCAUAGCUGGUCUGAGAGGAUGAUCAGCCACACUGGGACUGAGACACGGCCCAGACUCCUACGGGAGGGAGGAGUGGGGAAUAUUGGACGAUGGGCGAAGGCCUGAUCCAGCAAUGCCGGGUGAGUGAUGAAGGCCUUAGGGUUGUAAAGCUCUUUUAGCCGGGAUGAUAAUGACAGUACCGGGAGAAUAAGCACCGGCUAACUCCGUG